AGAGUUCGAUUAUGGCUCAGGACGAACGCUGGCGGCGCGCCUAACACAUGCAAGUCGAACGAGAGAUGAGGAGCUUGCUCUUCAAAUCGAGUGGCGAACGGGUGAGUAACGCGUGAGGAACCUGCCUCAAAGAGGGGGACAACAGUUGGAAACGACUGCUAAUACCGCAUAAGCCCACGGCUCGGCAUCGAGCAGAGGGAAAAGGAGUGAUCCGCUUUGAGAUGGCCUCGCGUCCGAUUAGCUAGUUGGUGAGGUAACGGCCCACCAAGGCGACGAUCGGUAGCCGGACUGAGAGGUUGAACGGCCACAUUGGGACUGAGACACGGCCCAG
rnacentral:rRNA from 1 species